rnacentral:rRNA from 1 species
UACGUAGGGGGCGAGCGUUGUCCGGAUUUAUUGGGCGUAAAGAGCUCGUAGGCGGCUUGUCGCGUCGACUGUGAAAUCCCGCGGCUCAACCGCGGGUCUGCAGUCGAUACGGGCAGGCUAGAGUUCGGUAGGGGAGACUGGAAUUCCUGGUGUAGCGGUGAAAUGCGCAGAUAUCAGGAGGAACACCGAUGGCGAAGGCAGGUCUCUGGGCCGAUACUGACGCUGAGGAGCGAAGGCGUGGGGAGCGAACAGG